CCCCCUCCCCCCGGUUUGACACCCCCUCCCGCCCCGCUCCGCCCUCCUCCCCGCCCCGCCGGUUGUCCCUCCGUAAACGGAAGCCGAGGAGGGACGAAGGAGCCGGGGAGGAGGUUGGAGCAGCGCGAUGGGGGACUCCAAAGUGAAGGUGGCGGUGCGCGUCCGCCCCACGAACCGGCGAGCGGCCGAGAGUCAUGAAUGCCUCACAACUGGUGACUGCAGAGCUAGAAAAUGGAAUGACAACAGCUCAGCAGCCGCUUUAGAGACAGCCAGCGUGGCUUCGCCGAGGGCAAAUCGUGCCCGACUAAUCCAGCGGCCUUCCAUGAUGGAGUGACGGCAUUAGAGGACGAGGGAAGAGCUACGGAUGUCACCUGCCUGGAGGACGUCAGUGAGGCACGGACAGUUUUGCAGGCAUCCAUGAGUGAAGGACCAGAGUACCUCAAUCUGUCCCUUCAACAAUCCUUCCCCGCUCCAUGUUUUCAAUUGGAAACCGCACCAGUGAGCUCCUAAAUCCAGGCGGCGCCUCUGCAGAAGUGGAGCAAAACCAACAUGAUUCAGCAGAUGAAGCUGUAAAAUAUUCCAACCUUUGAAGUCAAGGCAGUUCAGCCCUGACCAUUCAUGUAUCUCAGAAGUACUAGGAGAUAAACGCGGGAAACAUUACACAGCUCGACUGAAAAGCAAGAUAAACCUGAAGGCAAACUUAUCGUACCAGAAUAAAACUCUUUACUCCUGGGACUGGCCAAACAACAAUCUAUGAAAAAUGCAAAACAGCAACAGGUCUUGUUUUUAAACUGUUUCGCAAAAUAUUUUUGUGCUGAGAACCUGAUCACUGAAGAUGCUAAAGUGCUGCUGGCUGCCCUGAAUGCCUCCCAGUCUCUGACUGGGACUGUCCCAGUUGGUGCUCAGCUUCUUGCAGAAGUGGACCCCUUAAGAGUUUGCAUACAACUAACUAAACACUAGAGGCAGGGGCUCGCAUAAAGGAAAUGUCCAGAGGCAAGACUGCAGAGCCAUGAGAAGUCAUCGCCUUCCCAGAGCCCCGAUAAAACCCGACGUUGAAGCUGAGGAUGGUUCUUUGGCCUCCGAGGAUGUCUCCGUCUUCAGAGAAGUUUGCAGAACGUAGCAACGAUCACGUGCGAAUCUGGUUUCUCUUUGGCAAUUAGAAUGGAAGAAAGGUUGAAAGGGUGACUCAACAGAAAAAACAUCACCCUCCACUUGCGGCUCAUCAUGCCCAGCUGUAAAGCGGGGAUUAUAUUUACCUCCAUUGCAAAGUACUCGGUUUCAGAAGACGUUGGUGCGGUUUGCUGAGGCCCCGGCUGGAAAAUACCACAAGAAGUUCAAAGCCCGGUUUCAUCCUGUAAUUGGAUCCUCAAGUCCACAAGUGCAAGAACCAACUGUGCGGGCUGACAGCAGGUCCUCCCCUCUUCCAACAAGAACCCCACCACAACACGGGGCUGUGGGGCUGAGCUGCAAGCGUGGCAUACCCAGGAGCUGCUACUUUCUGCUGCUAUGCACAAAAAAAUGUUGUUUAAAGCUUUUGCCACCCUGUUUGAUCUGACCUGCUGUUAUUUUUUCUUUCUUUUUUUUUUUUUUUAACUCUAAGACAUCUUCUUAACUCUCAUGCUCACUUGGGAUGCUCUUAAGAACAUGGACUUUAAUCCCAGUGUUACUUAAAUACCAAUUUAAUAUUUGUUUUCUCUCUGCCUUGACAAGAUAUUCCUCAGGUCAAGCAGGCAUGAAAUGAUAGAUAUUGAGUGCAAUUCUUCUGGGCAAGAAGAGCUACCUUCUAAGAUCUUAUCUCAAAACCACUUGGAAAUGUGUUCUUUAUUUAUUUAUGCCAUAAAAUCUCAUUCGAUGUUGAAGGCCCAAAGGAUUACAAUUCUGAAUUGUUGGUUUGCUGUUUUGUUUUCUUUUUUUUUUUCCCCCCGUCCUUGCUGAAAUCUGGCCUUUCAAAAUAACACAGAGAGAAUCUUUGUUUUGAUCUAAAAUAGCAGCUGCAAGGGCUUUUAAAUGACCAUUUAAAUGAGAUUUCUUUUUUUGCAUCUUCGCAUUAUAGUUUCAUUCUCGGUCUCUGAGAUCAGUAGCUGCGGUUGAGCAGCCGAGCCGUCUAAUGGGAAUAAAUUGUAAUAUUGUUCCAA